AUGAGGCCUGAGAACCAGAGCAGCAUGUCUGAGUUCCUCCUCCUGGGGCUCCCCAUCUGGCCAGAGCAGCGGAGCGUGUUCUUCCUCCUGUUCCUGGGCAUGUACUUGACCACGGUGCUGGGGAACCUGCUCAUCAUCCUGCUCAUCCGGCUGGACGCUCGCCUCCACACCCCCAUGUACUUCUUCCUCAGCCACUUGGCUCUCACUGACGUCUCCUUUUCAUCGGUCACUGUCCCAAAGAUGUUAAUUACUAUGCAAACCCAGGACCAAUCCAUCCCCUAUGCAGGGUGCAUAGCACAGAUGUAUUUUUUUCAUAUUUUUUACUGAUCUGGACAGCUUUCUUAUUACAUCAAUGGCAUAUGACCGAUAUGUUGCCAUCUGUCACCCUCUCCACUACACCACCAUCAUGAGGGAAGAGCUGUGCGCCUUAUUAGUGACACUGUCCUGGAUCCUGUCUUGUGCCAGCUCCCUCUCCCACACCCUUCUCCUGACCAGGCUGUCCUUCUGUGCUGCUAAUGCCAUCCCCCAUUUCUUCUGUGACCUCGCUGCCCUGCUCAAGCUGUCCUGCUCUGAUGUCUUCCUCAAUGAGCUGGUCAUGUUUACAGUAGGGGUGGUGGUCAUUACUCUGCCAUUCUUGUGUAUCCUGGUAUCUUAUGGUUACAUUGGGGCCACCAUCCUGAGGGUCCCUUCAACCAAAGGGAUCUGCAAAGCAUUGUCCACGUGUGGGUCCCAUCUCUGUGUAGUGUCUCUGUACUAUGGGGCAAUAUUUGGGCAGUACCUUUUCCCAUCAUUUAGCAAUUCCAUUGACAAGGACAUUAUUGUGGCUUUCAUGUACACGGUGGUCACACCCAUGUUGAACCCUUUUUUUUUUUUUAUUAUAAGAAGAGAGACUGAAAAAGGGGACGGUGGCUGCUGUGUUCUGGAGUCCUACAGCCCCAAAGGGGACAUGCUAGAGGAAGAGAGGCAGGAAUUCUCUGCGGCAAGCACAGCUGUGUAG